UUCCAGACUCCUACGGGAGGCAGCAGUGGGGAAUAUUGGGCAAUGGGCGCAAGCCUGACCCAGCAACGCCGCGUGAAGGAAGAAGGCUCUCGGGUUGUAAACUUCUUUUAUCAGGGACGAAGCAAGUGACGGUACCUGAUGAAUAAGCCACGGCUAACUACGUGCCAGCAGCCGCGGUAAUACGUAGGUGGCAAGCGUUAUCCGGAUUUACUGGGUGUAAAGGGCGUGUAGGCGGGAAAGCAAGUCAGAUGUGAAAACCAUGGGCUCAACCUGUGGCCUGCAUUUGAAACUGUUUUUCUUGAGUACUGGAGAGGCAGACGGAAUUCCUAGUGUAGCGGUGAAAUGCGUAGAUAUUAGGAGGAACACCAGUGGCGAAGGCGGCCUGCUGGGCUUUAACUGACGCUGAGGCUCGAAAGCGUGGGGAGCAAACAGGAUUAGAUACCCUGGUAGA
rnacentral:rRNA from 1 species